AUACAGAGGGUGCAAGCGUUAUUCGGAAUUACUGGGCGUAAAGCGCGCGUAGGCGGAUGAUUAAGUCAGUUGUGAAAGCCCGGGGCUCAACCUAGGAACUGCAUCUGAUACUGGUCGUCUAGAGUUUAAGAGAGGGAAGUGGAAUUCCAGGUGUAGCAGUGAAAUGCGUAGAUAUCUGGAGGAACAUCAGUGGCGAAGGCGACUUCCUGGCUUAAAACUGACGCUGAGGUGCGAAAGCGUGGGUAGCGAACGGGAUUAGAUACCCUAGUAGUCC
rnacentral:rRNA from 1 species